CACGCCGUAAACGAUGAAUACUAGGUGUGGGGGGGCUGACCCUCUCCGUGCCGGAGUUAACACAAUAAGUAUUCCACCUGGGGAGUACGGCCGCAAGGUUGAAACUCAAAGGAAUUGACGGGGGCCCGCACAAGCAGUGGAUUAUGUGGUUUAAUUCGAAGCAACGCGAAGAACCUUACCAGGGUUUGACAUCCAACUAACGAAGCAGAGAUGCAUUAGGUGCCCUUCGGGGAAAGUUGAGACAGGUGG
rnacentral:rRNA from 1 species